UACGUAGGGGGCAAGCGUUGUCCGGAAUCAUUGGGCGUAAAGCGCGUGUAGGCGGUUCCGUAAGUCCGCUCUGAAAGCCCAGGGCUCAACCCUGGGAGGCGGGUGGAUACUACGGAACUGGAGUACGGAAGAGGAGAUUGGAAUUCCUGGUGUAGCGGUGAAAUGCGCAGAUAUCAGGAGGAACACCAACAGCGAAGGCAGAUCUCUGGGACGUUACUGACGCUGAGACGCGAAAGCGUGGGGAGCAAACAGG
rnacentral:rRNA from 1 species